UGCGUAGGCGGCGCGGAAAGUCAGAUGUGAAAUCCCUCGGCUCAACCGAGGAACUGCGUUUGAAACUACCGUGCUUGAGUAAGACAGAGGUAAGCGGAACUUCGGGUGGAGCGGUGAAAUGCGUUGAUAUCCGAAGGAACACCGGUGGCGAAAGCGGCUUACUGGGUCUUUACUGACGCUGAUGCACGAAAGCUAGGGGAGCAAACGGGAUUAGAUACCCCGGUAGUCCUAGCCGUAAACGAUGAGCACUUGGUUGGAGGCUCCCUCAUAGGCUUCCGGCCGUAGCGAAAGUGUUAAGUGCUCCGCCUGGGGAGUAUGGCCGCAAGGCUGAA
rnacentral:rRNA from 1 species